GCACAUAUUCGUUUUAUCCAUGAUAAGGAAAGCUCUGAUGCCCAAUCCUGCAAACACUUAUGCAUGUGCUUAAUUUUACUUCUGGGGAAGCAAACUUUGAACUGCAGGAAUGUUCACUGCUCAGAUUAACAGUGUUGUGACAUUUGUUGUGUAGGGAAACUUAUUCAGAGGCCAUAAGCAGUGACUAGAGCUUGGGUCUACUCAGUGUGGCUAAUCCCACAUUUUUGAAACAUCUAAAUGGAAAAAAUUAUGGAAUUUAACAACAUGGAGGAGAGGCAAAGCAUGGCCCAUGGAUGGCAGAACCUUGUUCAUGCCCUCAACAACAUCUGAUGGCACAGGAAGGAC